AGUCAAGUAAUUAAGUGCAUGUGGUGGAUGCCUUGGCAGUCAGAGGCGAUGAAAGACGUGAUAGCCUGCGAAAAGCUCCGGGGAGGCGGCAAAUAUCCUUUGAUCCGGAGAUGUCUGAAUGGGGGAACCCACCUACUUUAAGGUAGGUAUUGCAACAUGAAUACAUAGUGUUGCAAGGCGAACGAGGGGAAGUGAAACAUCUCAGUACCCUUAGGAAAAGAAAUCAAUUGAGAUUCCCUCAGUAGCGGCGAGCGAACGGGGAUCAGCCCAUUAAGUUAUGUGUGUUUUAGUGGAACGCUCUGGGAAGUGCGAACGUAGAGGGUGAUAUUCCCGUACACGAAAGGGCACACAUAAUGAUGACGAGUAGGGCGAGGCACGUGAAACCUUGUCUGAAUAUGGGGGGACCAUCCUCCAAGGCUAAAUACUCCUGACUGACCGAUAGUGAACCAGUACCGUGAGGGAAAGGCGAAAAGAACCCCUGUGAGGGGAGUGAAAUAGAUCCUGAAACCGCAUGCAUACAAGCAGUGGGAGCACCUUCGUGGUGUGACUGCGUACCUUUUGUAUAAUGGGUCAGCGACUUAUAUUCAGUAGCGAGGUUAACCGUAUAGGGGAGCCGUAGAGAAAUCGAGUCUUAAUAGGGCGUUUAGUUGCUGGGUAUAGACCCGAAACCAGGCGAUCUAUCCAUGAGCAGGUUGAAGGUUGGGUAACACUAACUGGAGGACCGAACCCACUGUCGUUGAAAAGCCAGGGGAUGACUUGUGGAUAGGGGUGAAAGGCUAAUCAAGCCUGGUGAUAGCUGGUUCUCCCCGAAAGCUAUUUAGGUAGCGCCUCGGACGAAUACCAUAGGGGGUAGAGCACUGUUUCGGCUAGGGGGUCAUCCCGACUUACCAAACCGAUGCAAACUCCGAAUACCUAUGAGUACUAUCCGGGAGACAGACUGCGGGUGCUAACGUCCGUAGUCAAGAGGAAAACAAUCCAGACCGCCAGCUAAGGCCCCAAAAUCAUAGUUAAGUGGGAAACGAUGUGGGAAGGCAUAGACAGCUAGGAGGUUGGCUUAGAAGCAGCCACCCUUUAAAGAAAGCGUAAUAGCUCACUAGUCGAGUCGGCCUGCGCGGAAGAUGUAACGGGGCUAAAACUAUGUGCCGAAGCUGCGGAUGUAUACUUUGUAUACGUGGUAGGGGAGCGUUCUGUAAGCCGAUGAAGGUGUGUUGAGAAGCAUGCUGGAGGUAUCAGAAGUGCGAAUGCUGACGUGAGUAACGACAAAACGGGUGAAAAACCCGUUCGCCGAAAGACCAAGGGUUCCAGUCCAACGUUAAUCGGGGCUGGGUGAGUCGACCCCUAAGGCGAGGCCGAAAGGCGUAGUCGAUGGGAAAAUGGUUAAUAUUCCAUUACUUCUGUGUAAUGCGAUGAGAGGACGGAGAAGGCUAAAUCAGCCUGGCGUUGGUUGUCCAGGUGAAAGGAUGUAGGCAUGUAUCUUAGGCAAAUCCGGGGUACUCUAUGCUGAGAUCUGAUAGCAAGCUGUACUUGUACAGCGAAGUGGUUGAUGCCAUGCUUCCAGGAAAAGUCUCUAAGCUUCAGUUACACAGGAAUCGUACCCGAAACCGACACAGGUGGUCAGGUCGAGUAGACCAAGGCGCUUGAGAGAACUCUGCUGAAGGAACUAGGCAAAAUGGUACCGUAACUUCGGGAGAAGGUACGCUGUUGUUGGUGAUGGAACUCGCUUCCUGAGCUGACGACAGCCGCAGAAACCAGGCCGCUGCAACUGUUUAUUAAAAACAUAGCACUCUGCAAACACGAAAGUGGACGUAUAGGGUGUGAUGCCUGCCCGGUGCUGGAAGGUUAAUUGAUGGGG
rnacentral:rRNA from 1 species